UCCAGAUCUCAGUGGGAAGUGCUUCCAAAU
rnacentral:piRNA from 1 species